AUUAUUAUUAUUAUAUUUUGACACUUUAUUCAAGGUAUAAUAUUCCAAGGGGACAAAACACUAUUCAAGUUUAAAUUUAUACAAAGAUAAGAUUCUCCAACAAACUCUAUCCAAGAAAAGCACUAUUCAAGAUAAGAUCAAAGACAAAGCUUGGAUUUAUGUGAGAGAUCAAGGAGCCAUCCAUUGAAGAUCCAAGGGUGGACAUUGAGUGGCCAAGGCUAUAAAUAGAAGGGUAAUCUCCUCAUUUUCACUCACCACACUACAAGCAAACUCAAGAGCUUUCACUCCACACUUGCCCACACGUUUUUGCCUCCAAGCUUCCAAGCUUUCAAGUGCUCAAGUGUCCUAGCUUUCCAAAGCUUCAAAAGCUCUCCAACUUCUUAUUCUAAUCUUCUUGUUCAUCUUUACAAGUAAGAAGUGUUGUUUGCUUUAAUAUUCCACUCCUCUAAUCACCUCUUGUGUGUGUCCACUUUGGUUGAGAGGGUUGAGAGUGCAAAGAAUGCAUUGAAGACCACCAAAAGGUAUGUUUUAAAUUAAAUAUUAUUCUGGUUAAAAGCCACUAAAAUACAAGCCUUGCUAAGAUCCUAGCUAGCUCUUAGAUGAUAGUUUCAAAAUCUCAUUACUUGUUAAAUCUAACAAGUCAUGUCAGUACAUGGGAAAUCAAAGAACUCUCUUUUGAGAAGGAGACUGCAAGAUAAAACGAUUUUUCAUGGCUUAGUCAAACCAAAAACAAGAAAUUCUUGGAAACCUAAAAGCUUCAUCUAUAAAUACUAGGUUGUUCACUCUCAAACCAAAACCUUACUUUCUCACCCAUUCCUACCAUCUUCAAAAUGGAUUCGUAUGAUCCAGACUGGAAAAAGGUGAUGGAUCUCAUCACAGGGAAGAAGCAAGUAAGUCAAUCAGAGAUAACUACUCACCUGUUUAAAGAGAUCGAUGAGGCAAAAUCAAGGAUUAAAGUGCUGAAAUCAAGUAUUAAAAACCAAGGAGUUCUGAUCGCAGACUUGCAAUAUCAAAUCGAGAUGUUAAAAGUUCCCACUGAGGAAGCUAACACCAUCAACCAUGGUUUUGAUUAGCUUGCUAUGCCUACUCGAUGCCAUCUGAUUUAGAUGUUCCUUUUUGGUUUCAUCGAUGGUGUUCAAACACCACUAUAACAUCUGUUAAAUAGAUGUUUCUACUUUUUUAAGUCUGUUUUGUUUAAGGUCUAACCAUAGACCUAAGCUUGCUUUAUUUUUAGUGAAAAACAUCAAUGAAAAAUCAAUUUCUCACUAAGUAUUAAAGACUUAAAAGUAGAUAUGAUUCUCAAAUAGUUCUUUAUCAAGAAUCAUCAAAAAUCCAACCAUUAAAUAAAUAUGAUUAACUCCAUAUCUUCAAGAUCUUUUAGAGAUUCAAAUAUUUAAGGGUUGUAUGGAUAAACUAGAAGCUUCAAGGGCUUAAACAUAAAUUAUGUUUGAAGUUUCUAAGUUUAAAAUGAUUCACUAAACUUAAGGAUUAAAAUUAUAUUUCUCAGUGAAUAUAGAGUUAUGUGAAACUUCAAAGACUUAAACAUAAAUCGUUUAUGAAGUUUUUAAGUUUUAAUAGAUUCACGAAAACUUAAGGGUCAAAAUGAUAACUUUACAGUGAAUAUAAAUUUAUGUAAAACUUCAGGGACUUAGAAUCAAUAUUUACAUGAAGUUUUAAUCGAAAAAUUACUUAGAAAUAUUUAACACUUCCAAGGUUUAAAAUGAAAUUUUUUAAGUAUUAAUCUAAGUAUUUAUCAUAACUUCAAAGGGCUUAAAUGAAAUUUUGUUUUAAGUGAAAUUUUACAACUAAGGCUUUAAGGACUGAAAUGAAAAUUUUAAAUCUUUUAAAACUUAGUGAAUAUUUACGUGAUUAUAUUUGUCACUAAGACAUAGAUUUUAAAAUUUUAAAAUGCUCAAAGCAAUUAGUGAAUAUUAUGGAUUUAUACAUAUCAUUCAUAUCUUAUGGAUUAUAACAUUAUAAAAUCUUUAAUCCAUACAUGUUAAGAUCAUCUUCAUCCAUAACACACACAUGGAUUAUUAUUCAUUGCAUGAUCUUAGCACAAGGCAAUUUAAAUUAUCAUAUCAUACUUGCCUUAUAAUGUAUAUCCAAAUUGGCUUCAAUCCAAUAUUUUAUCAAUGAGCAUAAAUUACAUGUUAUUUCUCCUUUAUGAUUGACUAACACUCUUAUAAGCAAGAAGUCACAUUUGGUCAACCACACAAAUCGAAUUUGUGAUCAAAGCUCAAUAAGGUAUGAAGUUUUAUUUUCUCCACAAAUUAGAUAUGUCCUAUCAUUAAGGGGGAGAUACUUCACAGGUAUCUAUUUUAACUUUGUCGAUACCUUAUUGUUUUAAGGGGGAGAAAUCAUGCAUGAUCCACUGCUUUUAAAUUAAAUAUUAUGGGUCAAUAAUUCUGGGGGAGCAUGCUCAUAAGGGUAAAAUAGAAUAUUGACUAGACAUGAGUUAAACAUAUAUGCCAUCGACAAAGGGGGAGAAUGUAGAAUCAAAAUUGUCGACAUAGGAUUAUAUUUUAAUCAUGUCAAUUUAAACCCUAAUUACACUAUUAAUCAAUAGGGGGUAAAUAAGUCAAUCGAUAUUAAACCUAACUCCAGUUAAUUAAUUAAUCAUUUGAGUUAAGGGUUUAAGUCAAAGUUAAAAGUCAAAUUGGGAGAAUUGCAUUAUCACCUUGAAUAUUAUUAUUUGGAAUAAUUGCAUUUUUACCUUGAAUAUUAUUAUUAUUAUCUUUUGACACUUUAUUCAAGGUAUAAUAUUCCAAGGGGACAAAACACUAUUCAAGUUUGAAUUUAUACAAAGAUAAGAUUCUCUAACAAACUCUAUCCAAGAAAAGCACUAUUCAAGAUAAGAUCAAAGACAAAGCUUGGAUUUAUGUGAGAGAUCAAGGAGCCAUCCAUUGAAGAUCCAAGGGUGGACAUUGAGUGGCCAAGGCUAUAAAUAGAAGGGUAAUCCCCUCAUUUUCACUCACCACACUACAAGCAAACUCAAGAGCUUUCACUCCACACUUGCCCACACAUUUUUGCCUCCAAGCUUCCAAGCUUUCAAGUGCUCAAGUGUCCUAGCUUUCCAAAGCUUCAAAAGCUCUCCAACUUCUUCUUCUAAUCUUCUUGUUCAUCUUUACAAGUAAGAAGUGUUGUUUGCUUUAAUAUUCCACUCUUCUAAUCACCUCUUGUGUGUGUCCACUUUGGUUGAGAGGGUCGUCUCAAUAGUACCAAAGUGUGAGAGAAGGUUUUUGAGCUCAACCAUAAAGCUCUAGUUUGGUUUUAUAGAGUUUCCGGGAAAACUCUUAGGUCGAGUCUACCUUUAAAGAUUUCAGAGGUUUUUAAGAGUUCCUUGAUACUCUAAGGUACUAACUUACCCGUAAAAGUUAGAGGUUCUUAAAAGUGCCCUUGAUACUCUAAGGUGUGAGUCUACCCGUAAAAGACUGGUUCCUAAGCGAAGUAGCCUUAAAGCUUAGAGAGGUUUUUAAGCGUUUCCUUGAUACUCUAAGGUUUUUCCAUUACCUUUAGGCGAGUGAAUUCCGGCAGUUGGUCGGGACUGGACUAGCCCUUGUUUGGGUGAACCAGUAUAAAUCUCUUGUGUUGUUCUCUGUUAAUUAUAG
rnacentral:lncRNA from 1 species